UAACCUCCCGUUCCUCUCUAAGAUUCUGGAGAAAGUAGUCGCCAAAGAGUUGUGUGACUUUCUACAUAACAAUAGUUUAUUUGAGGAUUUUCAGUCAGGAUUUAGAGUUCAUCAUAGCACAGAGACAGCUCUGGUUAAAGUUAAUAAUGACCUUCUGACUGCUUCUGACAAUGGACUUGUCUCUGUACUUGUAUUAUUAGAUCUUAGUGCUGCAUUUGACACCAUUGACCAUGAUAUUCUUUUACAGAGACUUGAGCAUCAAAUUGGCAUUAAAGGAACUGCCCUAACCUGGUUUAAGUCAUACUUAUCAGAUCGUACUCAGUUUGUACAUGUUAACGAUGAAUCCUCCAUAAAUACUAAAGUUAGUCAUGGAGUUCCACAAGGUUCUGUACUUGGACCAAUACUAUUUACUUUAUAUAUGCUCCCUUUAGGCAACAUUAUUAGGAAUCACUCCAUUAACUUUCACUGUUAUGCAGAUGAUACGCAGUUAUAUCUAUCAAUCAAACCCAAUGAAAUUAAUCAAUUAUCUAAAUUACAAACAUGUCUUAAGGACAUAAAAUCCUGGAUGACCUGCAAUUUUCUGAUGUUAAACUCAGAAAAAACCGAAAUUCUUGUUCUUGGCCCCAAAAACCUUAGAGACUCAUUGUCUAAAGAUAUAGUCACUCUAGAUGGCAUUAACUUGGCCUCUAGCACCACUGUCAGGGAAUCUUGGAGUUCUCUUUGAUCAGGAUUUGUCAUUUAACUCCCACAUAAAGCAGACCUCUAGGACUGCCUUCUUUCAUUUACGUAAUAUUAGAAAAAUUAGACACAUACUAUCACAGACAGAUGCAGAAAAACUAAUCCAUGCAUUUGUUACUUCAAGGCUGGAUUACUGCAACUCUUUAUUAUCAGGUUGCCCCAAUAAGUCCAUUAAAACGCUCCAAUUAAUUCAGAACGCUGCAGCACGAGUACUGACAGGAACUAGAAAAAGAGAUCACAUCUCUCCUGUACUAGCUACUCUGCAUUGGCUCCCUAUAAAAUGUAGAAUUGAAUUUAAAAUACUCCUCCUCACCUAUAAAGCUCUUCAUGGUCAGGCCCCUUCAUAUCUUAAAGAGCUCAUAGUACCCUAUUACCCCACUAGAACACUACGUUCUCUGAAUGCUGGGCUACUUGUGGUUCCUAUAGUCUCUAAAAGUAGAACAGGAGCCAGAGCCUUCAGUUACCAAGCUCCUCUCCCUGUGGAACCGGCUUCCAGUUGUGGUUCGGGAGGCAGACACCCUCACCACUUUCAAGAGUAGGCUUAAGACAUUCCUCUUUGAUAAAGCUUAUAGUUAGGGCUGGAUCAGGUGAGUCCUGAACCAUCCCUUAGUUAUGCUGCUAUAGGCCUAGACUAUCGGGGGAUUUCCCAUGGUGCACUGAGCUACUCUCUCUCCUCUCUCUUUCUGCACUCAUUCAUGUCCCUUUAAUGCAUGUUACUAACUCCACUUCUUCCCCGGAGUUCUUGUGCUUUCUCGUCUCGCAGGUUCUCAUGGAUCCUGGUGGAGCCUCCUGCCAUGGUCCUGCUUGACUGCCAUUGCCAAUACUGUUGUUGCUGUGCACCUGUCUGUCUGUCUGUCGCUCUCUCUCUCUCUCUCUCUCUCUCUCUCUCUCUCUCUCUCACCCCAACUGGUCGAGACAGACGACCACCCACCUAGAGCCGGAGGAUCUGUCCUAGGUUUCUGCCUUUUAACAGGCAGUUUUUCCUUGCCCUUGUCGCCAAGUGCUUGCUCAUGGUGGUACUGUUGGGUCUCUGUAAUUAAUGUUAAAGAGUUCGGUCUAGACCUGCUCUAUUUGAAAAGUGUCCUGAGAUAACUUCUGUUAUGAAUUGGCGCUAUACAAAUAAAAUUGAAUUGAAUUGAA